CUUUGGACGCUAAUCCUCCUAAGCUCCAGGAGCUGAUAGCGGCAGGGCUUCGGGAACCUGACACCAGCACCGGGCCACCUCGGAGAAGACUUCGCAUCACAAAGUGGACCUGGAAUUGGUCAAGGUCUCCACGGGGACCUACGGUUGCGACUGAAGCACAAGACUAAACAGAUCCAGUUCUUUAAGACGAUCCUCAGAGGGAUUCAUGGUCUCCAGACCUUUGAUCAUUUUAGUUGCCCUUCUCUGGACACCUUCCAGCAUGUCAAUAUCCUUUUUGAACUAUGGUGCUCAGAACUGGACACAGUUUUCCAGGUGAGGUCUAACCAAAGCUGAUUAGAUAGUUACCACGACUUCCCUUGAUCUGGACACUCAUCUCCUUUUGAUGCAGCCCAAAAUCCCAUUGACUUUUUGAGCUUCUGCAUCACCCUCUUGGCUCAUCUUGAACUUGUUCUCCAUGAAGGCUCCAUGAUCUUUCUCACAUGGACUGUUGUCGAGCCAGGUGUCACACACGUUGUAUCUUUGCAUUUUGUUUUUCUGCCACCAGACAAUGGUGAUGCUUUGAUUCCACCUUAAACUGCAAUUGCUCCAUCCUAUGAAGUGCUAGGUGAUGGUAUAUUUAAUUACUUAUAUGCCUCUCCAGAGAGCUUUAGUCCCUCCCAGGAAUCUAUAGGUUGCAGCUAAGAUGGGGUCAAAGUGUCAUGUGUGGAUAGCACAAAAGAGAUAUCUAAGAUGGUGACCUUCAAGACCUUCAAGUUUGCCGAGUGCGUGGGGAUUCUGGAAGUUGAAGUUCUCAACAUCUGGAGAACUAUGCUGGAGACCCAUGUCUCUUGGACGCCCUUCUCCAAAUUGAACCCUGGAGAUUUCCCUUCCAGAUGCACGAACCCAUGGAGAAGCGCCCGUGUUUCAUGUGCCGGUCUUGGUGGCCAGCGCCUCACCUUUGUCCACCGGUGUCUUUACGUAACCUGACCUCGAGAAGGCAAUUACAUUUGGGCUUUCUUCUGUGUAUAUAAGUGUCCUCAUCUGUUUCUGGUAUUGACACCGACUUCUCCUUUCAACAAAGGGUGGGUUCCCAUGAACUCCCUUGCUUUAUGACCAGCUGGUUCUGAUUAGGGAUUAGCCAAUAAAGAGAAGGAGUAAUACAGUCGGCAGUGUGUUCCUCCUCGUAACACGUUGCCAUGUGUUUUAAUUUACCCAUCCACCAAGAAAGUCAGUUGCCCCGAUGAACCGCAUUCCAUACCGCACAUAUUUUGCUUAUUUUGAUUAAUGUUGCCUUUCUAUGCCUUUUUCAAAAACUAUAUCAAACAUAGAGCAAUACCUGGCAGAUAUUGCCUACUUCUUUCUAUAGUUUCAGACCUCAGCCAAGGGUUCGUAGUGCUUCCAUCCAUAUUUCAGCUCAGUGCUUAUUGCUUCUUUGUUAACCGGCUUCUAACAUUUCAGUCGCAAGGUUCUCUGUCAAGGUCCUCGGUUUAAACUUGUCCAAAAACAAAUGAUCUCAGGUCUUGAAAGGAGAGGUUAUUGGCCUUCAAGACACAGGAUCAACCUCUCUCUGUCUCAUACACACACAGAGAGAAUGUUCCCCAUUUUUAUUGCAGCCGUUUUAUUGUGGCGUUCGUGUUUUAUAGCGUGUUCGCAUUCAGAUAAAUUUAGACUUUACAAGAAUGUUUGGUCCGAUGCCGAACAGUUGUCGGCUUAGCCGGGGAAAGUCAAUGGUGUGUGGAUUAAAUUUAUGCAACAUCGAAUUGGAAAGAGGAGAGUGACGAAGUGAAUAUUGAAAUCAGCUGUAAAUCAGCAGAUCCAAUCGCAGGAACUCAUAUGUGGAGUUGAGAUAAAAGAGCUCUGUUUUCCGCCAUUAUAAAACUCUGGAUAUGUCCAUGGCACUGGCCAGUUGUUGGACUAUUGAAUUAUGAUGUUUUAUGUUUUAUAUAUUUUAUGUAUUAAUUUUGGAAUAUAAUUUUAUGCUACGUAUCAUUGUGUUUUUAGGUCUUGAUCCCUAUGUAAGCCGCCCCGAGUCCCUUCUGCUCAUCGUUUCUGCUCAGAUCCUUCAAUGAGAACUGGGUUUAGGGCAUCAGACCUACAAAACCACCUUUUCUGGGAUCGUUUCUUUUAAAAUCCUUCAAUGAGAACUGAGUUUAAGGCAUCAGACCUACGAAACCACCUUUUCUGGGAUCGUUUCUUUCAAGAUCCUUCCAUAAGAACUGGGUUUGAGGUAUCAGACUUAAGAAACCACCUUUUCUGGGAUCGUUUCUGCUCAGAUCCUUCCAUAAGAACUGGUUUUAAGGCAUCAGACUUAAGAAACCACCUUUUCUGGGAUCGUUUCUGCUCAGAUCCUUCCAUAAGAACUGGGUUUAAGGCAUCAGACUUAAGAAACCACCUUUUCUGGGAUCGUUUCUUUUCAGAUCCUUCCAUAAUAACUGGGUUUAAGGCACCAGACUUAAGAAACCACCUUUUCUGGGAUUGUUUCUGCUCAGAUCCUUCCAUAAGAACUGGGUUUAAGGCAUCACACUUAAGAAACCACCUUUUCUGGGAUUGUUUCUUUUCAGAUCCUUCCAUAAUAACUGGUUUAAGGCACCAGACUUAAGAAACCAUCUUUUCUGGGAUCAUUUUUUUUUUCAGAUCCUUCCAUAAUAACUGGGUUUAAGGCAUCAGACUUAAGAAACCACCUUUUCUAGGAUUGUUUCUUUUCAGAUCCUUCCAUAAUAACUGGGUUUAAGGCAUCAGACUUAAGAAACCACCUUUUCUGCGAUCGUUUGUCUGUUGCACCUGAAAAAAUGGCUGUGGUGUCCAUGCCAUUACGGCUGUCCAAAAGGGCCAAAACAGCUGAAGCCCGUUUUGCAAAACGUAUCCAUGCACAACCCCAUUCAGUGGGUGCUGGCUGCUCACAUUCAGGAGGACAGUUGCCUAAAGAACGUUUCGCAUGACAUCUAAAGAAGCAAGAGAAGUUCCCGAAUCCUCUUAUUGUGUGGGAAAGGCGGGAUCGAAAUGCUGUAUAAUAAUUUUUUUCCUGCAGAGUCUGUCUAACCAAUGUGGCCACCUUGCUCUUUGGGACCCUUUAGCCCAGCUAAAUUAAAACAGCAGGUUGGCCCGUUGGUGUUUCAAACACCUAAUUCCUAAGCACAAGUCAAAGCAGCCCUUCCUAGGCCUGUGUUGUGGUUCCAAGAAAAAUGGGAGACAUGUUCUCUGCGGAGCAAAUGUUCAAACAGCAGCUGUUAAAGUCAACAAAGGAGCUUGAAUGAGUAAAGAGGUGUUGCAGAAGGACCGGGCGAGGAAAUCAAAAGCUCCUUGGAUGCAUUUGGCACCUCUCUUGAGAAGCAAACUGACCCAACCGAUCUGUCUCCCUUGCUUUAUCUAAACAGUAAGGCCUGCCCGCCUUCAUCCUCUGCCAUCAAGGAAAACAGGUUGGCAAUUUCGAUCUGGUCUUUAUCCCUCCCAUUGCCUUCCACUUGUUUAGUGUGGGGCUCGAUACCAUUUUGCCAAUACUUGAUGGUGUGUAUUCCGCAAUCCUUAAACAUUUAAUUCCCCUAAUUACUUUUAUCCAGUUCUCCAUCUCUUUACAAUUUAAUUCAUCUUUCCAUACUUCUCACAAAUGGCAAAAUACAUGAUAGCAGCUACCCAAGCAACAGUUGCCUUGGGAUGGAAAGAAUGAAGGUAAAUGGGAAUUAUAAAAUGGCUCGAAUGUUUAUUAGAGUAUAUACGCUCCAUAACUGAAGCAGUAGGUGAAGGUUUCCCCCUGACAUUAAGCCACAUUUAUUUCUCCUCCUCUUUGUUUCUGCUGCUCCUUCAUGUCAACGAAGAGACGUCUCCAGAGGAGUUGGGCCCGACGUUGUGCUCAUCUCUUGCCAGGCGUCACAUGUGUCACGCAUGAUGUGCAAAGUCAGGGGACUGUGGGGGAAUUCCUGCCCUGUUAUUUUAAUCCCGCAGCGGAGCGGUCCCUAUCACCGAUUUGACACCGUAAAAACUUUGAUGUCCCGGCCAAAUUCCAAUAUCACUGUAAGUUUUGAUCCUCAUUCAUAACAAAGAUCUUUCACGGUUUUCUAUAGUUCUCUGUUCUUUCUUUGGCUCAGUUUCCAAAGUGGUUUGUCCUCUGUAUCCACGGGGAUUUGGUUCUUGGACUUCCUGUGGAUACCAAAACCUAGACUCUCGAGCCCCAUGAUAUGAAAUGGUGUCCCUUAUAUAAAAUGGUGAAGAACUCAAUCAAGUGAAGGAGAUCUGUGGGAAUGGUAGGAAGCUAUGGAAAUUUCCCCCUUGAAUAUUUUUGACCCAUGAUUGGUGGAAUCAGUGGAUACAGAGGGACGAAUGUAUUGUUGGGUUCACAUUUACAUCAAUACAUUUACAUGGAUGAUGGCUUUCCUCACUAAGUGCUGGAGUCUCCUUCUCUGAAGGUCUUCUCUGAAGGUCCUACUGUAGGUUUGUUGUCGAAGGCUUUUAUGGCGGGGAUCACAGGGUUGUUGUAUGUUUUCCGGGCUGUCUGACCAUGUUCCAGAAGUAUCCUCAGGCAUCCUCAGAGGUUGUGAGGUAUGGAGAAACUAAGCAAGGAAGGUUUACAUAUAUCUGUGGAAAGUCCAGGGUGAGAGAAAAAUCAGAACAGUAAAUAAGAAGCAACACUCUGAAAACAGAGGAGUUCCAGACAUUAAUCAACCGCUAAUGACUCUGAACAAAGGAUGCCCCCAGGCAGGAAGAAGCCAGGAGAUGAAGCUAUUCAAUGCUAAUUAAGGUGAUUAACUACAACAUUCACACUGGCCUCCAACUGGCAAGAGUUCUUCUCUCACCCUGGACUUUCCACAGAUAUAUAUAAACCUUCCUUGCUUAGUUUGUCCAUACCUCACAACCUCUGAGGAUGCUUGCCAUAGAUGUGGGCAAAAUGUCAGGAGAGAAUACUUCUGGAACAUGGCCAUAGAGCCUGGAAAAUAUACAACAACGCUACUGUAGGUUGACAUAUAUACCAUAGCACUAUCUAUGCAGCACUCAACUGUAUCUUAGUUGCCAAAUAUUUCUCCAAAGUAUUGUUGAAGGCUUUCAUAGCUGGAAUAGCUGAGUUGGUGUGUGUAUGGCCAUGUUCCAGAAGCUUUCGUCAGAGUAAUUGCAGCGCAGCAGUAGUUGGAUGUAAGCAGUGGAGCGAGAAUGAAGAGACACUCAGAGACGUUGGUAAAACUAUUUACAAAGUUUUAUUGUAUUAACACAAACAGACUUACAGACGACAGAUGAACACAGGACUUGACUCAAACUCUAGGCAGACAGAACUCAACUGAACUGACACAACCGGUAUGCACAAACACUUGUGUCUGGAUACUCCCUAGUUCCAGCCACACAUCAAGGUCAUCACAGCUUCUUGGCAAUUAACUCUUUCCACACUAUGGUACAUUCUGGAGGAUGCAAUCAGUUGCAAUACAAGCAUGGCACAAAUUGCAUUUAAACACUAUCAAUACACAAAUCCCACAUUAACAACUUUCUCUUCUGACGUUUUGCCCACAUCUAUGGCAGGCAUCCUCAGAGGUUGUGAGGUUUGUUGGAAACUAGGCCUUGAGGCCACAGGACCAUUAAUGCUAAUCAAGGUGAUUAAUUACAACAUCCACACUGGCCUCCAACAGACAAGAGUUCUUUCUCCCACUCUGGACAUCAUUCCACAGAUACAUAAACCUCCCUUAUCUAGUUUCCAACAGACUUCAUUACCUCUGAGGAUGCUUGCCAUAGGUGUGGGCGAAACGUCAGGAGAGAAUGCUUCUGGAAGAUGACCAGACAGCCCGAAAGACUUACAGCAACCCAUACCUCCAAAGUCUUGAGUAGGCAGGCAAUGGGCAGAAGUAUCUUUCCUCCUGGAUGGAAGCAGAGGAUGGGAUGCUACCAAUUCCAUGCCAAGUCAUAGAACAGGCAUGGUCAAACUUUGGCCUUCCCUCCAGGUGUUUUGGACUCCUAACAGCCUCAGGCCCCUUCCUCCUCCCCCCUGGAUUUGGGGCACACUCCUCUUUGGGGAGCAAUGUCCUGCUUCCCUGGGGUAGACCCAUUGACUCAAUGAGAAUUUGGUGAAGCAACUCUUGUGCCAACUUCAUUAAUGCGAUAGGUCAACUCCAGUUGGGUUCAGAGCUUGGACUGAGCUCCUUCCUUCAAAUGCUUAUACCAGGUUUUCAUCUUGUACAUUUCUCCCUUCAUUUGCUUGGAAGGAAAUGAAAGACGUGCUUUCAGAGUUACCCAUCAUGCUUUGAGGGCGAAGACUCCAGUUCCAUCAGUUGGCUGGACUUAAGGCCGCCUUGCUUUUCUUCCAUUGCUUUCCCUAAAUUAAAUAAAAAAUGCACAUGUACCCACAAAAAUGUCCAUGCACACCCACACACAUGCCUUCUUUCAUAUAUUUUUUUUCCGGCGCCAAUUGCGAGGAAUGUGGCUUUCAGGCCUUGCCGAAGGUGAAGCGGAUGAAGCCUCCAAGGUGCAGAGGUGGCAUUUUCACAGAUGACAUGUUUACGAGGCCGUUUGAAGACUCAGCACUUUCCCUUCACACUCCUUGAAUUCCUGCUCAAAGAAAUCAACGGGAUGGAGCACAAAGCCACAAAGGGUCAGGGCACCCAACGCUUUCUUUCUUCCCUGCCUACUCUGUCAUUCGGGCAGACUCGCAACAGAGGCGUCAAUUCAGUUGAGUUGAAUUACUACAUUCCACCAAGUUUGGAUUUGGAGCAUCAAUAACACGCAGAAUUUGGGAAUCAGUGCAGUUUGUUGUCAUUGUGUGGUUUCAAAUUGUUUCUGACUUAUGGAGACCCGAAGGUCAACCUAUGAUAGUGUUUUCAUGUCUUCUUCUGGGACGGAUACAGUGAGACAUCUCCAAGGUCUCCAAGUGUUAAGUAUGACUCAGGAAAGUCACACUAUGACUGAUACUUAAUGCAUAAGACUUAGUGGCAUCAAUGAGAGCCAGUUCUAGGACUCAGGCUUACUUUAAGUAGUAGGAAGUAGAGCUUGGAAAGGUUACUUCCAUACUCUAGCCAGGUCAACUCAUUGGCUCCAAAGUCUCAUUGAUAGUACAAAUUCUGUACCUCUAGGACCCGUAUCCAUGGUUUCAUUGAUCCAUGCUUGACAAAAUAGGUCCUUCUAGAAAUCUUCUAGGUUCUCCAGAUGAUUCUAUGGCAUGCUUCUGCAUCUCACUAACCAGGCUUACAAUUAGAAAAUGCUAUUAAAUCAAUCAUCUAGGGCAGUGGUUCUCAACCUGGGGUCCCCAGAUGUUUUUGGCCUUCAACUCCAAGAAAUCCCAACAACUGGUAAACAGGUUGGGAUUUCUGGGAGUUGUCGGCCAAAAACAUCUGGGGACCCCAGGUUGAAAAUCACUGGCCUAAGGCCUCCAGAGUCUCAUAGAUAUAGAAUGUUAUUUUAGUUAUUUCAGUUCACAAAUCCUACUGUGGUCAUCUUCUUCUGGUUUGCCAUUAAUUCAGUAAAGGGUUUCCAUUCUUCUUGAAGUUUCAGUGUAUUCGUUUGUUGACGCGCUAAAGCUAAUUUGUCCAUUUCGGCCAUUUCAAAGCCUUUAGGCAACUUCUGCUAGAGGUUCUCAUAGAGCAGUGGUUUCCAAACUUUGGUCCUCCACUCAAUUUGGACUUCAGCUCCCAUAAUGUUUGACUGUUGACCAAGCUGGCUUGGUCUUCUGGGAAAUGAAGUCCAAAACACCUGGCAUAGAGUCAUGUUGAAGGAUGUAGAGAAGAUACCUAGGUCCUUUAGGACAACUUGAUUGUAACGGCUCAUUUCCAUCACGUUCCCAAUUACUGUAGAGUCUCACUUAUCCAAGACUUGCUUAUCCAAGGUUCUGGAUUAUCCAAGGCAUUUUUGUAGUCAAUGUUUUCAAUAUAUUGUGAUAUUUUGGUGCUAAAUUCAUAAAUACAGUAAUUACAACAUAACAUUACUGCAUAUUGAAGUACUUUUUCUGUCAAAUUUGUUGUAUAACAUGAUGUUUUGGUGCUUAAUUAGUAAAAUCAUAAACUAA